CGUUUUCCGCGCCGUAGCUAACGCAUUAAAAGUGCCCCGCCUGGGGAGUACGGCCGCAAGGCUUAAACUCAAAGGAAUUGACGGGGGCCCGCACAACGGCGGAGCAUCGGAUUAAUUCGAUGCAACGCGAAGAACCUUACCAAGGCUUGACAUGUGCUAGAUCGCCAUAGAAAUAUGGUUUCCCCUUUGGGGCUGGUUCACAGGUGGUGCAUGGUUGUCGUCAGCUCGUGUCGUGAGAUGUUGGGUUAAGUCCCGCAACGAGCGCAACCCUCGUUCCAUGUUGCCAGCACGUAGUGGUGGGGACUCAUGGGAGACUGCCGGGGUCAACUCGGAGGAAGGUGGGGAUGACGUCAAAUCAUCAUGCCCUUUAUGUCUUGGGCUUCACGCAUGCUACAAUGGCUGGUACAGAGAGAUGCGAGACCGCGAGGUUUUAGCGAAUCCCUUAAAGCCAGUCUCAGUUCGGAUCGUAGUCUGCAAUUCGACUACGUGAACGCUCGGAGUCGCUAGUAAUCGCAGAUCAGCAACGCUGCGGUGAAUACGUUCCCGGGCCUUGUACACACCGCCCGUCAAGUCACGAAAGUCGGUAACACCCGAAGCCGGUGGCCCAACCCCCUUGUGGGGAGGGGGCCGUCUAAGGUGGGACUCGGCACAUUGGGACUAAGUCGUAACAAGGUAGCCGUACCGGAAGGUGCGGCUGGAUCACCUCC
rnacentral:rRNA from 1 species